rnacentral:miRNA from 1 species
GCAGGUGGGGCCUGGGGGGCAGGUGGGGGCAGGUGGGGGCAGGUGGGGCCUGGGGGGCAGGUGGGGCCUG